GACAGAAAAUAGAUUAGUGACUUGGGGCGGGGGGGGGGGGGGGGGGGNGGUGCUUUCUGGGGCGUGACAUGUUCUGUCAGACAGUGGUGAAGGCUGGACAACUUUUUCUUUCUUUUUUUAUGUAUGUAUUUUUUUAAUUUUUAUUUUUUGUCUUUUCUGGGGCCACACCCGAGGCAUAUGGAGGUUCCCAGGAGGGGCCCUAGUAAAGGCAAAAAAAAAAAAAAAAAAAGGCAAACAAAAGCAAGGCAUUAAAAAGCCAAUAAAAUAGUCAUAAAUCUCAACUUUUUUGUGUCUUCAUGCCAUCUGGACACACUCCCGUGGGCACACAGCCCAGAAGCCUAUACACGGCCACAGCUCAGACCCAGGAACAAACCACCCCCACCCCCCACCAGAGGGCAGCAAGACCUCCUAAAUGCUGGGGGCACUGAAGACACCCCCAGGUCCCUUCUCAGUCACCAUGACGGCUUAGAACACAGUCAACUCUCUGAGAUAAAGAAAUCUCAUUCUGACUCUGCUAAGAGGCCAGCGGGACCCUGGAAAAACGGCCUGCUCGCUGACUCAAGCGAAGUGCAGUAAGGCCACAGGUGUCUGGGGCCCUGUGCUCAGGCCUUCAUGGCAGGAACCCUCGACACAGUCGUGAGAGUCGCUUAAUUCUAACGUAGUGUAACUCAGAGGGUUCACACACGGACGCAGAAGCACCGAGGCUGCAGUAAAAUGCUCAAGUAAGAGAAGGCAGGCCCUAACCACUUCCCAGGAAAAGGUCUGGAGUGAAAGGCACAAAACGCGGGGGCGCAUUCCUGCUGAGGCAGAACACAAAGAUGAGGGCAGUCUCGAGUUCUGACCCCUCCACAUGUGCGGCUGUGUGAUCAACUGGCUGUACCCAAAUGACUGACGAAGAGGAAACUCUAACGCCACCAAGGUUGAGAAUCGGAGCCCAGGGGCCCUGAUGUGCUGGCACCUUCUGGUCUCUUUCGGACCCAGGCGUCUCCCGAGUCACAAACCAGGUGCAUCCUGGCCCCGGCCUUUCCCAUGACUUGUCUUUUCAUCAAGCGCCCUGCGGAGUUCCCGCCGUGGUGCAGUGGGCUAAGAAUCUGACUGCCGGGGCCCGGGUCGCUGCAGAUGCAGGUUCAUUCCCCUGCCCAGAGCAGUGGGUUAAAGGAUCCAGCGUUGCUGCCACUGAGGCUGGGAUUCAAUCCCUGGCCCAGGGGACGUCCGUAUGCCACACAUCUUGAAACACAUACCAAAAAAAAAAAAAAAAAAAAAAAAAAAAGAAAGGAAAUUAAAAAAAAAAGAGGGCACUGCCAUCAUGGCUCGGUGCCAACAAACCUGAUUUAAAUCCAUGUGGACGCAGGUUCCAUCCCUGCUCCCAGUCGGUUCGGAAUCCGGUGUUGCCGUGAGCCAAGGUGUGGGUCGCAGAUCUGCUGCGGCCGUGGUGUAGGCUGGAGGUCGCAGCUCGGAGUCGACCCCUAGCCUGGGCCCUUCCCCGGGCCUGAGUGCGGGGCCGGGCGGAGAGGAAGGAAGGAACCUGCAUUGCAGCCCCGCGCGCGCACAGGCCACGCGGCCCCACCACAGAGGGAUCCGUCCAACAGCACAAUCCCCCCCACGUAGGCACAGGCACACGUUCAGCCUCAGCUCCCCGUGGGGCGAACAUCUCACCGAAGGGGCCUUGGCGUCUCUGGCAGGAAAACAUGGCUCAAAAAACGGUGGCGCCUGCCUGGCUCCCUCGGCCCCACCCGCCAGCCCGCCUGCGGCUGGGAGCCCCGCGGGCUCACAGGACGUGCGGCGCCCCACGCCCAAGGCCUAGGGGCCCACGGCAGGGAACACGGCUGGCAGACGGCCCUUCACACCCACACCGGACCCCGGACCCCGAAGCUCGGACCGGACCGGGCGCGAGGCGGGAACCUGCCCCACAGCAAAGGGCCUCCCUCAGUCCCUGGUAAAGCUCCACCACCCAACCACUACUAUCGUAAGACACGGAACAUUCCAGCAUUUCAAUUCGCUGCAAGCGUCCAAAUACACAUAAUAAUUUACUGAAUAACCAACCACAAUUCCUUGAGAAAGCAUACGAGUUUUUUUAACAUUUUCUUCAUUUUCGGUGAAGCUACCUCACACACACGGCUGAGAGGCCCUCCCGAUUUCACUUGUAAAUAAAGUUUACCUCCCCUCCAGUAUUUCCAAGGAACACAAGGUGGUAAAUUUCAAGUAAAAUUUCAAAACUUCCCACCAACAGGGGAAGGGCUCCUCUAGAAGUCUUCCGAGGUUCUCCUACUCUUGACACUAAACUUAGGGACUUCGCGUUAGCACAGCACCGCUAAUGCUGCCCCCACUGCCACUGCUCAAGAACUGCACAACUUGCUCUGGAUGAAAGACUGCUGAACGUGAGUCAGACGCCCGUCUCUACCGCAAACAGCACCAACAGAGCCCAUCGCAACCUUGGUUUAAUGCCCCCAGUAAGUCAAACGGCUAAUCCUCACCAGGUCCUUAGAACCCUGUCAUGCUGGUAAUUCUCCCCGAGACAGUAACUGGUUUAUUUAAUGAAACAGGCACCUGCUUGCGUAACCUCAUAUGUGACAGACACACGAGAACUCCUGCAAUCCUCAUUAACCACUGUCAGGACCACCUCAAGGCUUUCCCCAGUUUAAUCAAAUCUGGACUCCUCCACUUUCACCACUGCCUGCAGCGAUUCCCUGAGUCUUUGUCAACAUCCCAUCUUCACUGACUCGGUGCACGUGCUGAGGACUGACAGGAAUACAGUUAAAUUCUCACUCUCCACAGUAACAACAGGCAGAACGCAGAACACGACAGAGACACACGCACCCGAGACCCAAGUCAUUCAACCAGAAUUUUACCCUGCAGAC
rnacentral:lncRNA from 1 species